ensembl:snRNA U2 U2 spliceosomal RNA
AUCGCUUCUCGGCCUUUUGGCUAAGAUCAAGUGUAGUAUCUGUUCUUAUCAGUUUAAUAUCUGAUAUGUCCCCCAUCGGGGGACUAUACAUAUUAAAUGGAUUUUUCGAACAGGGAGUCGGAAGCGGGGCUUGCUCCGUCCGCUCCACGCAUCGACUCGGUAUUGCAGUACCCUCCGAGAACGGUGCACCCUCU